rnacentral:rRNA from 1 species
UACGGGGGGGGCAAGCGUUGUUCGGAAUUACUGGGCGUAAAGGGCUCGUAGGCGGCCAACUAAGUCGGAUGUGAAAUCCCCAGGCUUAACCUGGGAAUUGCAUCCGAUACUGGAUGGCUUGAAUCCGGGAGAGGGAUGCGGAAUUCCAGGUGUAGCGGUGAAAUGCGUAGAUAUCUGGAGGAACACCGGUGGCGAAAGCGGCUCACUGGACCAUAACUGACGCUGAGGCGCGAAAGCUAGGGGAGCAAACAGG